AUCAUGAUCAUUACAUACAUUUUAUUACAUGAAAUAAAUAAUACUGUGGAGCUUUCACCAACCGAUAAAGCUCUUCCUCUUGGAUAACAUCCGAAGGCAAUUGAGGGGUAAAAUAAUACUAAUAAUGAUAACAAUAAUUAGUAUGAAAAGGAAAAAAAGGGUUUAUCACCACACAAAGCAGAAACUAUAGCCUCCUUCACUUAUAUUAAUCUCAUAUUCGCUCAUUUCUUCUGUUUAGGGUCUAAUAAGGAUUUCUUCUCAUUGAGAUAAAUGAAAAAUAGUUUCUUAUUUAUAGCCUGACUUUGGUGUACAUAAUUCAACUCUAAUUGCCCUAGGGCAGGAAGAAACAUGGAAGAUUCUGUCAAUAUUCAAUCCACACUUAUGGGAUUCUACCAGGAAAUAGGAGAGGGGGUUUUGAAUGCUCAGACUACACGGGAACCAAAAUGAAAGGGAGAGGGAAGGGUGUUUGGUGAGACUGAAGACAAUGGUUUUUGUCCUUGCUGGAGAAAAGGCCAAGCCCCCAGUCUCACUCUGUUCCAGGCAUUUUCUGAACUAACUGAAGUUCUCCCUGGUUUGUCUCUGAAUCAGGAAUGAGCACCUUCUUUUGUUUUUCUUUCCAGAAAGAGGGCCUCCUGGCAUUCUUUAGUAUAAGGACCAUGUUGAGAAUUGCCACUAAGCAUAGAACAUGGCUGCCUAGCCCUAUUGUCUCAUCUCCAUGUGAGGACAAGAAGAAAUAGGUCCUCUCCUACAGAGAGGCCCAGUAAGGGCCACUUCACCAGCCAGACAUGAAUCCCACUCUACAGCCUCACUAAUUGUCCAAACUUGAUGUGUUUUUGUUAUGUGCUGCCAUGAUAACAUCUUAGGUAGUCUCUUUUAACCAACAAAGACACCCAAUCUGCCCCAGCAGGCCUCAUGAUAUAGAAAUAGAUAUAUAUUUAGGAAAUAGCUUGUGUUCCUUCUCAAAGACUCCUGGACAUGUAAUUGCUCAGAAGGGUAAUAGAAGAUUCCAUUUCAGUCUUCUCUGGGAAUUCCAGAGAACUGCCUCAGCCUAUUUUGAAGAAAGAAGGGAUGAUUACAUGAGGAUCUACUUUUCACUUCUUUUGAAAAGUUUUCUCUGUUCCACAACCUAACUUCUGUUCUUGCUUGAAUGAAUCUGACUUUUUUAAUGGCUUACAGUUCAGGAGGGGGCCCUGCCUCUAGGUUUAAAAUGGUAGCUCUGGAUCCAUAGGCAUGAAUAGGUGGCCCUCUGGCCCCGGCACUGGGGCCUCUUGUGUGAUCUUUUUGGAGCUUGUUGGUUUGGCUCCCAAUCCAGUUAGGAAAUAGAAGUAGAUUCACAUAGGGCAUUGUCCUUCCUCAAGACAAGCUAUCUCUCCCUCCUAGGCGGAGUCCUUGGUGGAAAUGCUUGAGAUCCGCUGUACACAGAGUGUGAUCAGGGCUCCCUUCUUCUGGCAUCUCACACAUCUGGCCCUUUCUCCUGAAGAUUAAUCAGAAUGGGGCCAGUUAUGAGGAGGCCAUUAGGGUUCUUGCCCCUCCCCACCCUGACACUUUUGGACAAAUAACGAGAGAAGGAAUAGGUGAGCUGACACCCUCCACAGCCUCCUCCCUACCUUAGUCCCUCAGGGAACAUCUCCUGCCCUCUGCCAAUGAAUUUCUAGGGCUGCCUCCAUCACAAAUACUCUGAUUAAAAUGUAAAUUUAGCCAACCUAUCAGCUUCCCAUUAAGGGGACUCUUUAAAAAUGCCGUUAAUCAGCUGAAAGAUAUGUAGUGAAAUACCACUCAUCAAUUGUAACUGCUUAUGACAGUUAACAAAGCUUUAUAUUUGCCCCAAACAUGUGCUGAUCUAUCCAUUAUGCCAAGGUUCACUCUCACGCUAAUUGUACAUUUUCUUCUCUAAUGCAUUUUUUGCUGUUAUCUCAUAGGCUAAUGAAAGCCAGGAAAUCAAUAAAUAUAAAUUAUACAUGCAAAGAAGGACUGCUGCGAACAUAAAGUUUCUAAUUAAUUGCACUUGAUUAAUUUAUAUCCUUUAAUUAUCUUGCUAAGCCACAAACAACAUAAAUAUCUUUGCAAUCUGGUUAUUGCUAUGUCAGUCAUAAAAAAGCAGACACAGUAAAUCUAUGAAAUCUAGCAAACUGCAUUGCCAGAAAACAUGGAAUGGCAUGGCCCAUAAAUAUUACUGGACUUACUCAAGGCACCUAUGAAUAAUUUCAGUGUGACAAAUUAACACUAAAUAUGUUGUAUGGUUAUUUGACGAAGGUUAUAGUGAUGUGAUAAGUUUAAAUGGUGCAUAUGGAGUAAGCAAAAAUAUAGAUUUUACCAUUGGGCUUAUAAAAAUCUGCUCAAGCUGGGGAGGAGUAAUGUAGGUAAGGACCCACAUGCAACUAACCUGUGUAGUUUUGCAAAUGGAAGUAUUCUUUGCUGGCCAAGUUGAAAAACAAAUUGUUAAUUGUAUUGUUUCUUAGUUUCCCUUAGAUAAGUUCGAUCAAUAAAGAAUCCAUUUCUUCUGCAAAGGCAAAACUAAAAUGCGUAUUUGAAGAAGAAAUUUAAAUCCAGGAACUGAGUACCAGGUUGGGAAGAAAGCUAGACGUUGCAUGCUGCUGUUGUCUUAGAAGAUGCAACUUUUACAUGGAAAGUGGUUUCUUUUCACCCACUACCCCCCUCUUUUAAUUUUAUCUGACUCUGCUAAGCCAGCCAUCUGUCACUGAUCUGAAAUUUAAUCCUCUCUGUCCACCAAGCUUUGCUCUUUGUCCUAGGCCACAGCAUAUUACCAGCAUCUAUAUCUACAACUUUCAUAAAUGUGUAAAAAGAAACUGUAUCUGUCCUCAGCUACAUUCAGACAAAGACCAUCUGUCAGCAACUGCAGCCAUUCUUUAAAAAAGAAAGCAUCCAAAGGGAUUUGCCCUUUACCAAAUAAACCCACUUAACCCUUCCAAUAAGAUUAACUGUUAUUUGUUUCCAUUAAAUAAAAAUGACCAUACUAAUAUACAUUUAAUAGUUCUGUAACAGUUGCAGAAAGAUCAGCUCUCAUGUGGAUAUCUUUUGUAGAUAAAACAUACAUGCAUAUAAAUAAAGGAAUUAUGACAGCAACUAGAUAACCUAUGAGGCAGAGGGAUGUUUUCACUUCCUUCCUCCAGUGUGGGGCUAUGAAAGAGAAGCCAACAUAAAAUAUAGAAGCCAGCGAGUAUCAUACUCUCCUGUUCUUCAUUUUUACAGUAAAUAGCACUCUAGAUAUAAUAAAUGGCUGAAUACACACAAUUAUUAAGAUUCAGAGUCUGUCCUGUGACUUCUGCCCUCUUAUCACUGUACAUUCUUGGAGACAGUUUUAUAGCUUUUAGGCUACCCAUUUCUAAAGUCUGUGUAUGUAUGGUAUACAAAUAUACCCUCACUGAGUAGCACUGUAAUUAUGGGAAAUCUGCUGGUGGAUGGGGAAGAAAUACUGUUUAGUGAUGCUAAUGUAGAACUACAGUUAACAUUUUGGGAGUUUUGUCUCCUAUUUUCAUCUUAAAGAUGGCCAAAGUUGUUUGGUUUAGCAUUUCAAAAGCAAAAUAAAUAAUGCAUUUGCUUCAGUGGAAAAAAACCCAGGCAAAUUUUCCAAACGCUUAUCUAUUCUCUAGAUGUUUAUGGACAUAUUACUCCAGUUUUUAAUGCCACAUACUCAAACUAGCAAUACUCAAACUAGGAAGGCCAAGUUCUGCCCACAGGGUAGCUGAAGUGCACAUUUCAACUCAGAGUUCAUUUGCCACCAGAUCCUGAUAGCCAUCGUGAUACUUUCAAGUGCCCAGGAUUUUCUGUUUUUUCACUUAGAAACGUGAUUACUUGACCGGGGCAGGUAUAUUGUAGGUAACUGGGGUAGGGUGGGCACACGAACCAGUGGACAGGAAGCAGGACACAGAGAAGACGCUUCCUGCCCUGGUCUGGAACUCCUCAACUGCCAAUCUUUGCUGAGGAUCAAGACACAUUUGUUUCUGGAAGGUGCUGGGGGAUUAGAAGGGGUGAGUGGGAAACUACCAGGCAGAUGAAAUGACUUUGUUUCUUUCUCCCCCCUUGAGCUUCUAGGUUUUCUCCCUUAAAACAUUUUAUGAAGUUGUGACUAUUCAGUUUCAAGGGAAAACCCAAUCAAAAGAUUCCCCAAUCUAAACAUAUACAUUUGGCAUUUGGUGAGCCACGUCUGCUUUUCUCCUCUCCUUGAGAGUGACCGUAACUCCCUAUGGCCGUUUUGCUUUUCUCAAAUGCUCAGGUGGAUGCUGCAGCCCCGCUCCCCCAGCCUACUCUUAGCUUGUCUGAGACCUCUGCAGUGAGAGGUGAGCGCCUCAGCCCCAGGGGUCCCCUUCUACUGGGGGCCUCGGCUCCAGGAUCCAGACUUUCAGCUUCAUACCCAGCAGGUAGCUAGGCUGCCUGCUGCGCCUCGUGUCUCAGGAGGGAAGUGUUCUGUGUUGUGUUUGAUGUGGGUGUCGCAGUCACUAAGGAGACAGGUAAAUUUCCCAGUGCUGGAAUCAGAUUGGUGAGGAAGACCUGCUCCUGAGGCAACUGGCCUGCCUCCCGGCUUCUUUCUCCAAGGUAAUGAAAAAGCCAAGCUGGGAAGGCAGGCUGGUGACAAGUAUGGUCCCUGCGCAUUCCUCGGGCUGACGGCCAUUUCAAUUUAAGAAAACAAAAGAUGAUCCUGUGAACACUGUAUCAGGCAUCAUUACUGGACUGAAAAAAGGAUCACUUGAUGGACAUGCCUGGCGUUUUGUUUAGAAGUAUUUCUUCUCUGGCCUUAGAAGAUUAGUUUUCAAAGCGAUGGUAAAAUCAUUGAUGUAUGUCUUUUCAAGAAAAAGAAAAAAAAAAGACUCCUAAAUGCCAAACAUUUGCUCUUUGGAGCAUAGCAAGAAGAAAGGGAGAGGACCAGACGGCCACAUCCUAAGAACAGAGUAUUGUCCAGUGGGUGUCUGCCGCUUCCUCAUGCCUUGCUAUAAGAAAGCUCGUAAAAAGGAAGAAAUCUAAAACUAGAACAAUUCUAUAUUCACAGUUUCUCUGACAUUAAAAAGUACUCAAGAGAAGAGUUUUUUUUUUAAUUUAAAGAAACAUCUGUCCAACAUGGAUGAUUUUGAAGAAGAGCACUCCCCUUUGUCCAGAGCCAUAGAAAGAUAAUUUAAUUACACUUAUCAUUACACCCUCCCCAAAUUAGACUACAAAUGGAUCUUGAUUUCUCAUGAUUUUUUCACUUUACAAAAUAAUCUUAAAGUUUAGGAGGAAGAAAAGAUGCUUAAGAAUAAUCAAGAAUGCUUGGAAAAGAGGAAGAAAAAGGGAAAUUUCUCCUACUGAACCGGUAGUGCUGGGAAGGGAAGAGCGUGGUCCCUUUAAAUGACAGGGAAGUGGGGCAGGGAAGUGCUGGGUAGAGAAAGGCGAGGUCUCUGUCUAGGGCUCCACCCCCAGGGACCUAGGUGAGGACAGGCACUUCUGCCUUCAAGCCCAAAUGUUGCAUUUUCCAAGACCACCCUGGCCUGCCACACCCCCAUUCUGGGCCUAUAAAAACCCAAGACCCUAGCAGGCAGACACAAAAGCGGCUGGACGUCAUGAAGAACACAUGGACAGAAGACACAAGCAGCUGGUAGUGGAGAGCACACGGCGGAAUGACGCAGAGUUUUACUGGAGCAGGCCGCCAAAGGACCCGACUCCAGGGGAAAACCAUCUCCCUUCUUGCUCCCCCGUCUGCUGAGAGCUACUUCUGCUCAAUAAAACCUUGCACUCAUUCUCCAAGCCCAUGUGUGAUCCAUUCCCGGGAUACAGAAAGCCCUCUGUCCUUGUGAUAAAGAAGGGGGUCUAAUUGAACUGGUUAACACAAGCUGCCUAUAGACAGCAAACCAAAAGAGCACCCUGUAACACACGCCCACUUGGGUUUCGGCUGUAAACAUUCAUCCCUAGGCACUGCCAUUGGAUCGGAGGCCCACAGUCUGCCCAUGUCUACGUUCCCCUAGGAGGUUUGAGGAGCGGGUGGCUGAAAAAGCUAGCCACACCCCCAGCGCAUGCCCUGCAGGGGGGACAAAGGAAACUUUCCAGUUUCACUACCACCAUUAGAAUAUCUUACAAAGUCGGCUAGGCGUGGUGGCUCACGCCUGUAAUCCCAGCACUUCUGGAGGCUGAGGCCGGCGGAUCGCCUGAGGCCAGGAGUUCAAGGUCAGCCUGCUCAACAUGGCGAAAACCCAUCUCUACUAAAAAUAUAAAAAUGAGCUAGACAUGGUGGUGCAUGCCUGCAAUCCCAGCUACUCUGGAGGCUGAGGCAGGAGAAUUGUUUGAACCUAGGAGGCAGAGGCUGGACUAAUAAUCAUGCCCGUAUCUAAGCUAUUAUCUGUAAAAAGUUGUACCUAUUUGCAUUGCACUCUAGCCUGGGCGACAGAGCAAGACUAUCUUAUGGUAAUGGUGGCAUAGGAUUAAUGAAACGGAAUAGAAGUCCUAGAAAUAUUCCCAAGUAAAUAUAAGAAGUUUGUGUAUGAUAAAAGUGGCAUUUAAAAAUAAAAGGAAGAUGUAGUAUAUUAUUCAAUAUUUUGGUAUUGUGGCAACUGCCUAUUCGUUUAGGGGAGGAGACAAAAGGUAGUCUCUGAGUCAUACAAGUGAAAGUAUAAAUUUGAGGUUUAAUAAUAAGUAUUAAAAGGAAACAAUUAUAUAGAUGUAAUAUAUUUAUAAGUAUGAAAAACCAAGAAUAAAUUUUAGAUGUAAUAUAUUUAUACAUAUAAAAAACGAAAUGAUUAUUUUCUAAGAAUAUGCUGGUGGAUAUUUAUACAAUAUUGAAUUGGGAAAGCAUCAGUCCUGAGGCAAUAAUCAUAAAAUAAAUGAAUUAAGUUUACUACGGAAAUACUAAAAUUGUCUGCCCAUCAAAACAUACCAAAAAUUAUGACUAAGAAGAAAGGACAAAUUGGGUAACAUAUUUAAAUAUACAUAUACAUACAUAUAUAUACACACACACACACACAUAUAUAUAUACACACAUACAUACAAUAUGCUCAACAUAUAAAAAGUUUUAACAACUUUGUAAGAAAAAGAUUAACACGGAUAAUUUACAAAAGAAAAAUAAUGCAAUGAAAAAUAAUUUACCUACCUGCAUUAGGGUUCUCUUCGAGGGAAAAAAUAGGAGAUAUAUAUGUAAAGGGGAGCUUAUUAAGUAUUAACUUACGUGAUUACAAGGUCCCAAAAUAGGCUGUCUGCAAGCUGAGGAGCAAGGAGAGGCAAUCCAAGUUACAAAACUAAAGAACUUGGAGUCCGAUGUUUGAGGGCAGGAAGCACCCAGCAUGGGAGAAAAAUGUAGGCUGGGAAGCUAGGCCUGUCUCUCCUUUUCUGCCUGCUUUAUAUUCGCUGGCAGCUGAUUAAAUUGUGCCCACCAGAUUAAGGGUGGAUCUGCCUUCCCUGGCCCACUGGCUCAAAUGUUAAUCUCUUUUGCAACACCCUCACAGACACACCCAAGAUCAAUACUUUGUAUCCUUCAAUCCAAUCAAGUUGACAUUCAGUAUUAACCAUCAUACUAACCAAACAGCAUUUAAAAAUGUUUAAUACUCAGUAAUAGUUAGGAUGUGGAAGAAUGGGAAUUCUCACACACUGCUGAUUACAAUGCAAAUAGGUACAACUUUUUACAGAUAAUAGCUUAGAUACGGGCAUGAUUAUUAGUCCAGCAAUGCCACUUCUAGAAGUUUUUGCUAAGGAAAUAACCCUGGAUAUAAAUAAGAUUUAGCUAUAAAGAUGUCUGCAAACUGUUGUUUGCAAUAUUCAAAACAUUAAAAAAUAAUCCUGUAUGUAUACAAGAAGAUUAAGCAAUUAUUUAAAAUGUUUCUGUAGUAAAUAAUAUUUAAUAAGUAUUGUCAUAAUAUUUUGCCAAAUGAAAAA
rnacentral:lncRNA from 1 species